AUUGAACGCUGGCGGCAUGCUUUACACAUGCAAGUCGAACGGCAGCGCGGGCUUCGGCCUGGCGGCGAGUGGCGAACGGGUGAGUAAUACAUCGGAACGUGCCCAGUAGUGGGGGAUAGCUCGGCGAAAGCCGGAUUAAUACCGCAUACGACCUGAGGGUGAAAGCGGGGGAUCUUCGGACCUCGCGCUAUUGGAGCGGCCGAUGGCAGAUUAGCUAGUUGGUGGGGUAAAGGCCUACCAAGGCGACGAUCUGUAGCUGGUCUGAGAGGACGACCAGCCACACUGGAACUGAGACACGGCCCAGACUCCUACGGGAGGCAGCAGUGGGGAAUUUUGGACAAUGGGCGAAAGCCUGGUCCAGCAAUGCCGCGUGUGUGAUGAAGGCCUUCGGGUUGUAAAGCACUUUUGGCGGGAACGAAAAGGACUGUGCCAAUACCACGGUUCGAUGACGGUACCCGCAGAAUAAGCACCGGCUAACUACGUG
rnacentral:rRNA from 1 species